rnacentral:rRNA from 1 species
CUACGGGAGGCUCCAGUGAGGAAUAUUGCACAAUGGGGGGAACCCUGAUGCAGCAACGCCGCGUGGAGGAUGACGCAUUUCGGUGUGUAAACUCCUUUUAUAUGUCAAGAAAAUGACGGUAGCAUAUGAAUAAGCACCGGCUAACUCCGUGCCAGCAGCCGCGGUAAUACGGAGGGUGCAGGCGUUACUCGGAAUCACUGGGCGUAAAGGACGCGUAGGCGGGUUGGAAAGUCAGGUGUGAAAUCCUACAGCUUAACUGUAGAACUGCACUUGAAACUUCUAAUCUAGAGUAUGGGAGGGGGGGAUGGAAUUAGUGGUGUAGGGGUAAAAUCCGUAGAUAUCACUAGGAAUACCUAAAGCGAAGGCGAUCUCCUGGAACAUUACUGACGCUAAGGCGUGAAAGCGUGGGGAGCAAACAGGAUUAGAUACCCUUGUAGUC